CCGUACGAGCGCACCCCUAUCCCUAGUUGCUAGCAGUUCGGGCUGAGAACUCUAGGGAGACUGCCGGUGACAAACCGGAGGAAGGUGGGGAUGACGUCAGGUCAUCAUGGCCCUUACGGCCAGGGCUACACACGUGCUACAAUGGUGCGCACAGAGGGCUGCAAACCCGCGAGGGGGAGCCAAUCUCACAAAACGCAUCGUAGUCCGGAUCGCAGUCUGCAACUCGACUGCGUGAAGUCGGAAUCGCUAGUAAUCGUGAAUCAGAAUGUCACGGUGAAUACGUUCCCGGGCCUUGUACACACCGCCCGUCUCACCAUGGGAGUGGAUUGCACCAGAAGUGGUUAGUCUAACCUUCGGGAGGACGAUCACCACGGUGUGGUUCAUGACUGGGGUGAAGUCGUAACAAGGUAGCCGUAGGGGAACCUGCGGCUGGAUCACCUCCUU
rnacentral:rRNA from 1 species